rnacentral:ncRNA from 1 species
AUAUAGUCUUUCCGUUGCCGCAAAAUCGGCAGCCGGGCGUGAGAACCCGUGUA